rnacentral:rRNA from 1 species
GACGAACGCUGGCGGCGUGCUUAACACAUGCAAGUCGAACGGAAAGGCCCUGCUUUUGUUGGGUUCUCGAUUGGCGAACGGGUGAGUAACACGUGAGUAACCUGCCCUUGACUUUGUGGUAACUUCAGGAAACUCCGGCUAAUACCGGGUAGGAGCUCCUGCUGCGUGGUGUGGGUUGGAAAGUUUCGGCGGUUGGGGAUGGACUAGCGGCUUAUCAGCUUGUUUGUCGGGUAGUGGCUUACCAAGGCUUUGACGGGUAGCCGGCCUGAGAGGGUGACCGGGGACAUUGGGACUGAGAGACGGCCCAGACUGCUACGGGAGGCAGUAGUGGGGAAUAUUGCAGAACGGGCGGGAGUGAGAUGUAGCAACGCCGCGUGCGGGAUGAUCUGUUUCGGGUUGUAAACCGCUUUGGAAGGUGCCGAAGCGUGAGUGACGGUAAUGGGUAAAGAAGCACCGGCUAACUACGUG